rnacentral:rRNA from 1 species
GAUGAACGCUGGCGGCGUGCCUAAUACAUGCAAGUCGAGCGAACGGACGAGAAGCUUGCUUCUCUGAUGUUAGCGGCGGACGGGUGAGUAACACGUGGAUAACCUACCUAUAAGACUGGGAUAACUUCGGGAAACCGGAGCUAAUACCGGAUAAUAUUUUGAACCGCAUGGUUCAAAAGUAAAAGACGGUCUUGUUGUCACUUAUAGAUGGAUCCGCGCUGCAUUAGCUAGUUGGUAAGGUAACGGCUUACCAAGGCAACGAUGCAUAGCCGACCUGAGAGGGGGAUCGGCCACACUGGAACUGAGACACGGUCCAGACUCCUACGGGAGGCAGCAGUAGGGAAUCUUCCGCAAUGGGCGAAAGCCUGACGGAGCAACGCCGCGUGAGUGAUGAAGGUCUUCGGAUCGUAAAACUCUGUUAUUAGGGAAGAACAUAUGUGUAAGUAACUGUGCACAUCUUGACGGUACCUAAUCAGAAAGCCACGGCUAACUACGUG